rnacentral:rRNA from 1 species
AACGAACGCUGGCGGCAGGCUUAACACAUGCAAGUCGAACGCCCCGCAAGGGGAGUGGCAGACGGGUGAGUAACGCGUGGGAACACACCCUUUUCUACGGAAUAGCUCUGGGAAACUGGAAUUAAUACCGUAUACGCCCUACGGGGGAAAGAUUUAUCGGGGAAGGAUUGGCCCGCGUUGGAUUAGCUAGUUGGUGGGGUAAAGGCCUACCAAGGCGACGAUCCGUAGCUGGUCUGAGAGGAUGAUCAGCCACAUUGGGACUGAGACACGGCCCAAACUCCUACGGGAGGCAGCAGUGGGGAAUAUUGGACAAUGGGCGCAAGCCUGAUCCAGCCAUGCCGCGUGAGUGAUGAAGGCCUUAGGGUUGUAAAGCUCUUUCACCGAUGAAGAUAAUGACGGUAGUCGGAGAAGAAGCCCCGGCUAACUUCGUGCCAGCCGCCGCGGUAAAAC